UUUUAGCUGGAGCUUUUCUUGCAGCCUGGGAUUUGGAAGUCUUCUGUCGAGAAGGACCUGCUGCUUGAGGGUUUAAACAAAGGAGUUCAUGUCCUUCUAUAUUCAGAAUUUGAGAUACCACACUGCCACUAAUUGGUUCAGUUUGAGCCUCCACAUUCCCGUCGAGAACAUCAUCAGUUUUAAUAAUGAAAUAUACAUUCACAUCAUUAUUUUUUUUCAGCUCUUAGCGCCAUUCCGAAUGCAUCAACGUCAUUGUUAAUUGCUUUUUGUACCAAAUUAUUGUCACUUUCAUUCCAGAAAAUCUGAUAAUUAUCGA